GAUGAAGAACGCAGCGAAAUGCGAUAAGUAAUGUGAAUUGCAGAAUUCAGUGAAUCAUCGAAUCUUUGAACGCACAUUGCGCCCGCCAGUAUUCUGGCGGGCAUGCCUGUUCGAGCGUCAUUACAACCCUCAGGCCCCCGGGCCUGGCGUUGGGGAUCGGCGGAGCCCCCCGUGGGCACAAGCCGUCCCCAAAUGCAGUGGCGGUCCCGCCGCAGCUUCCAUCGCGUAGUAGCUAACACCUCGCGACUGGAGAGCGGCGCGGCCACGCCGUAAAACACCCAACUCUUCUGAAGUUGACCUCGAAUCAGGUAGGAAUACCCGCUGAACUUAAGCAUAUCAAUAAGCGGAGGA
rnacentral:misc_RNA from 1 species